UGUCUAAUACAUGCAAGUCGAACGCGAUCUUCGGAUCGAGUGGCGAACGGGUGAGUAACACGUUGGAACCUGCCCAGAACUCAGGGAUAACAUCUAGAAAUAGGUGCUAAUACCGGAUAGUCCCGCAAGGGUAAAGAUUUAUCGGUUCUGGAGGGUCCUGCGGCGUAUCAGCUUGUUGGUGAGGUAAUGGCUCACCAAGGCAAUGACGCGUAGCUGGUUUGAGAGGAUGAUCAGCCACAAUGGAACUGGGACACGGUCCAUACUCC
rnacentral:rRNA from 1 species